rnacentral:lncRNA from 1 species
UUUUACGAUACUUAUAUAUUUUAAUUUUCUCUAAGUGAUUUAUAAUAUAAUGGUUAUCUAUGAAACAUUUUUCUUUUUUUUCAGAAAAAAACAAAUGUAUCAUUAAUAGGAAGAGGUCACGGGUACAAGGGUACCCUGCCCUUACUUUACCAGUCCCAAAAAAGAAAAACCUGUCCUCUGGUAAACAACAAAUAUUUUCUUUCUUACCUAUAAACCAAUUGUUCCUAAAACCAAAUAAAUUCCUAAACUGAUAAAAGUAUACCCCUAAACCCCCAACAAGAAAUCCCCCUCCUAUUCCUAUCCCAACAUAUUCACAUAUAUAUGUGCAUGUCACCUAAUCCACCA